UUGUCCUCACUGGAGACUGAAGUCCUCUAUUUAUCCACGGAAUAGGCUCAGCAUGGGCAGCAGUAGCUCACCGUUCCAUCCUGGAGCCUCAAUGCUUCUGAUGCCUGCAAAGGGGGAGUGAGUGAUCUUAUCUUCAUGCACAUUAUUCCCCAUCU
rnacentral:sRNA from 1 species